GACGAACGCUGGCGGCGUGCUUAACACAUGCAAGUCGAACGAAGAGCGAUGGAAGCUUGCUUCUAUCAAUCUUAGUGGCGAACGGGUGAGUAACGCGUAAUCAACCUGCCCUUCAGAGGGGGACAACAGUUGGAAACGACUGCUAAUACCGCAUACGAUCUAAUCUCGGCAUCGAGGAUAGAUGAAAGGUGGCCUCUACAUGUAAGCUAUCACUGAAGGAGGGGAUUGCGUCUGAUUAGCUAGUUGGAGGGGUAACGGCCCACCAAGGCGAUGAUCAGUAGCCGGUCUGAGAGGAUGAACGGCCACAUUGGGACUGAGACACGGCCCAGACUCCUACGGGAGGCAGCAGUGGGGAAUCUUCCGCAAUGGACGAAAGUCUGACGGAGCAACGCCGCGUGAGCGAUGACGGCCUUCGGGUUGUAAAGCUCUGUUAAUCGGGACGAAAGGCCUUCUUGCGAAUAGUGAGGAGGAUUGACGGUACCGGAAUAGAAAGCCACGGCUAACUACGUG
rnacentral:rRNA from 1 species